rnacentral:rRNA from 1 species
CCUACGGGAGGCAGCAGUGAGGAAUAUUGGUCAAUGGGCGCGAGCCUGAACCAGCCAAGCCGCGUGAGGGAAGAAGGUCCAGCGUAUUGUAAACCUCUUUUGUCAGGGAACAAAGGCGGGGACUAGUCCCCGGAUGAGUGUACCUGAAGAAAAAGCAUCGGCUAACUCCGUGCCAGCAGCCGCGGUAAUACGGAGGAUGCGCGCGUUAUCCGGAUUUAUUGGGUUUAAAGGGUGCGCGGGCGGCCUGUUAAGUCAGCGGUAAAAGCCCGGGGCUCAACCCCGACGAGCCGUUGAAACUGGCGGGCUGGAGUUGGAGAGAAGUACGCGGAAUGCGCGGUGUAGCGGUGAAAUGCUUAGAUAUCGCGCAGAACCCCGAUUGCGAAGGCAGCGUACCGGCUCCACACUGACGCUGAGGCACGAAAGCGUGGGUAUCGAACAGGAUUAGAUACCCCGGUAGUC